CUCAGCUUGGAGACUUUUUUCCUGGAGUUCUCCCAGCUCCCACAGUCUGCAUUUGUUGCUCUUCGGGCUUGCUGCACAGUUGUUUUGGGAUUCCUCUUCCACAUUAUCCUGGGAUUUAUUUUUCCUCUCUCUCCUCCUGGAUUCCCGUUUUUAUUUCCUGAUAACCAAGAAAGAAUUUUGGUGAAGCACUAACUUCUGUGAGCUUCUUGAAAAUGGGUGUAUGGAAGGAUAUUGAUGGCAUUGCUGUAUAGUCAAUUGACCUCGGUGUUGCUAGUAAGAGCCAAGGCCAGGGCCAGAGAGACCUCAGGGAGUCGUCUCCCCCUGAGCAGCUGCUGAAACAUCAGGCAAAGGAGCUGCGAGACGGACUUCUGGGAUUGCUUUUAUAUCUCUGCAAUAUUCAUUAAAUGUCACCGUUACCUUGUGAAGACACAAUGGCAUCAACAGAAUUUUUUAAGGGCCUAAAAUGCACUUCUGUUUCAUUUUAGAGCAAAACUUUGUAUGCAUCCAGACAUUUUCUGAAAUAUGAAGUGUCCCAGAUUGGUCCUCUACCAUAUUUGAUUUAAAAUUUGUAUAUUACCAAGAAGAGUAUAAAAUAGGAAGAAUGAGAAACUUCUAAUAACCAACUGUGCUAACUAGCAGCUGAAAAGUCUGGUAUUAGAUCAUGAUUGAGAAGCAUCACCUGUGGAAUCCUUUGGCCCCAUCACCUAAUGUUAUAAUUCCAAACGUACAGUGCUGCCAUCCCUUAGGAAAGAUGCUUUCUAUUUGAGGACCACCAGCUCUGCAUGUUGAUUUGAAAAGAGAUAAAAGAGCAUCUGGCCGCCAUAGUACAAGCUGCAGAUUCCCUCCCUCUUCAUUAUGCAGAGAACUGAUGCAAUUUUUGCUUCUUUCCUAUUUAGACAAAUAGAACGAUUUGGGAAAUAUGUCAUGCUGGUAUUAAACAGCAGCAGUCUUGCUGGGUUGAAAUGUACACGUUCCAUUAACAACAAUUAUAUUGUAUAAUUAAGGUUUUGGUCCCCAAACUCUGACUUGGAAGCUCCCUCAAAUACUGGUGGGUUUAUCAAAGACUUGUUAAAAUAAAUAUACCCCUCACAUCACACCCUUCAGUUCCACAGCCCCCACCCCUGCCUCAAAUUGCCACCACUAUGUGUGUCCUGGCUUGGUCUGUAGUGAAUGUGAUUCUCAGGGACUCUCUACUCUAGUGGUGGCUGAGAUAAAUCUGAAAAUAGAAAAGAAGCUUUGAAAAGGCUGACGCCUGCAAGCAGAAUCAUCAGAACAUGCCCAUGUGUUGUAUGGGGCCCUCGGGUAGGAUGGGAUCCACAUGACAGAAAUGGGGUGCCAGGGAUGAUUUGGAAUGACCCCUGCAGAGUGAGGCUAUCCAUGGAUCUGUUGUUACGCUGCUCUCCAUCCUUCUCUCCUGGAGAGCUCUCAGUUUAGGUAUCGGUGGAAGUUUCCUGAGGCUGAUGCAAUCGUGACACACACACGUGUGUACACAACCUUGGGCAAAGGGCUAAUGAAGUUCAAACCUCUGUGCCUGGGAGCCUCUCUUGACCCUGCGGUCAGCACGUUUCACUCUUCCAGCAGCCAGAGAGAGCUCUGACCUUUGUCUCAUCAGUGAAGGCUGCUGCUGGUGACGAUAAUGAAUUUCUAAGGGCAAUUAACACCGUGACAGGGUCUAUAAAUUAUAGAUUCUGACAACACUCCCUGCUAUCGUUUUUUUCUUUUCCCUUUGAUGACCACCUGGCUAUCAAUAACAGUUUCUGUAGCCAAGUCCUAGGUUUCUACCUGUGGCCAAGACUUAAGAAAAACAAAAAGCUGAAAAUCCUAGAGCAGGCUCUCUUCUUAACCAGGGGAAUAAUUGUCAGCCCAGAUGCCCCAGGACUGAAACAAAUUAGGUGUAUUAAAAGAGGGAGUGCAUUGGAAUCAGGCAUAGCUGAAUCAGCUGCCCAGGCUGGCAAGCUAAAAAUCAGAGCUGAUGUGGUUUUUCUGGUUUUCUUUGGUGGGAAUCUGUGAGCACAGUAAUGUGAAAAUCAAGUUACUCUUUUUAACUCCAUGAGUAUGCAUAUUCUGGAAAACAGUUGUACUUGGCAAAGGUUGGGAUGGGUCAUGGCCCAUCAUUCCUGGAUGGGUGGUGGGUGGGUACACUGAAGGGUCACAGGCAGAUUUCCGUCCAGAAUUGUAUGAUUGUAGAGGUGCAACCUCCCCCAGGCAAGGCUCAAAAUGGUACAUGAUUCUAUAUUUACUCCUCAGAAUUCCUAGGGAAAAAUGGCUCAGGUUGGGAAAUGGAAGUAUGUUGUGGUAGACAUCCUAGAAAUUUAGAAACAUGAGCAAGCUAGAGAGGUAAAAACGUUUAGGUAGAAGAUAUAAGAAGACCAAUCCAUAUUCUAAGGUGAAUAGGGCAAGAUGGAUUGUUUUGGGGGAACUCCAGAACAGAAACUUAUCGAUUUCUUACCCCAAAGCCACCAUCCCCUUCUUCCUUUUUAAGAGCAUGGUAUUUGUUUAGAAAUUGGGUUUACAAGAACUUCAAAGGCCCCUCAUUUCCCCAGAGGUAAAUAUAGGUUAGUGUAAGAUAGUUGUGGGAAGAGUACAAGGAGCCUCUGAGAAAUAUUUCCAUUGAAAUUAUAUAGAAAGAGGCCUGGGAGGAAUGUCUUCUUUGCUGGAGGUCAUGUCUGCAGGUCUCAUCUGGAAUUGCCACAGCCAACAUGCAAAUGUGAAGGAGGCUUUGCCAACACGUUGGGUAUAGCAGAGUGGAUGGAUGCAGAGCACCCUGCUCCUGGGAAAUGACCUCCUCUAGACUUUCUGCUGCCUAAUAAAGUCACACCUUUUCUCAUUGUUUA